rnacentral:misc_RNA from 1 species
AACGCACCUUGCGCCCUCUGGUAUUCCGGAGGGCAUGCCUGUUUGAGUGUCAUGUCAACCUUCAUCCCACCGGGUCCUGCCCGGCGGGGUUGGAAUUGGGCGCUGCCGUCUGGCUCGCCUCAAAUGCAUUGGUGGCCAUCUGGCCCUGCUACGGCGUAAUACGUUUCGUCGGAUCAGGGCAUAGUAACCUCCUUGAAACCGCCUCUCACGAGGAUUGUACGAUUGACCUCAGAUCAGGUAGGACUACCCGCUGAACUUAA